rnacentral:lncRNA from 1 species
GAAAAUUUACUAAAAGGCAAAGAUUUAGAGCAAGAUUGUGACGCUGCUGGUGGAACCUCCCCAGCCCUCGCUAACAGGUUCGAUAUCAAUUAACCAAUUGCAAAAUUUUCCCUAACCUAAUUAAAACAAUUCCAACGAAUUCUAGGAAUUCUCAUAGGAAAACAUGAAACAAAUUGUACCCUAACCUAAUGCAAAUUCAAAUAAAAAGUCACAAAGCUAUGCUUCAAUUAUUCAUGUCGACAAAUCAAGAUGGUCCACAUAAAAUUAUCUUUUACCUGUUUGACGGAAACAUAGCCAUCUACUUGUUCCAUAGAAAUGUCAUCUUCUAAAUUCAUUCUUUUUGCUUUCUCUGAACGAUUUUGCUUUCUCUGAAUGAAAGGGGAUGAAAAUGAUGAGUUAGGGUUUAUGGGAGACAAAUUUUCUAAACUUUUCUUUUCUUUUCUUUUUUUAUAAAAAAAAUUAAUGCAAAAAGGAGUAAGUAAGAUCCCUAUUAGUCAUUUUACAAAUGGAUAAAUUUGUAAUUAAAAAAUUCAUAAAAAGGUGGGUGGGGAAAUAAGACACCGGGGUGGGAAUAUCAUCACUCUUUUGUUAAUUAUCUUGUCAAUUUGAGGGUUGUUUUUGUCUGUUUUGUACAUUAAAAACCUUUUGAAUUUACUGUAGUCUGUAAACGUAUCCUUUUAAUAACAUUUGUUGUAAAUGUAGCGUGGUGUUGACAUAUAUGCCCUUGAAAUUUUGGUGAUGUGCAUAGCACAAGAUUGAAUUUUCGGAUAUUAGAAUUUACAUACAUGAAUUGAAAGUUUAGGGAUCAGAAAUUCAAAUUGGAAGUUCAAAGAACAAAGUGAAACAAUGUUUAAAGUUUAGACAUCAUUAAAGUUUUCUCGAUGGUUUGUUUAUGCUUAUUUUCUCUACAUACGGAGCUUAUAUGAAAUACGUAGUUUUGUUGAUACUUUCGAUUGAUGUACAAAAAGGAAGUGACAUACAUGAUAUAUAAUGGGGAAGCAAUUUACAAUGCACGAAAAUGACACAAUAACAAUAUAACGGUGCUGACACACUCUGACCCGGAUAUCCAAAUGAACAUUGAAAUCGAGGCAUGUUAACAUACAUUUGGAAGGUGAUGAUGCCAUAAUAUGCAAAUGAUGUGUAAAGCGUACAAAUAGAUUAAAACCAAAGUCUAGAACUAAAUUAGACAAAGAGUGAGAGUGCGCAAGGCGGAAAGAACCCUUAUUACAAAUGCAUGUAGUGUCAAAGCAUAGACAAAAGUGCAGUAAAGGUGAGAAAAUUCUCACCUUGGGGAGGACGGAUAUUACACAAGUAACAGGAAAUAAACUUCCUACAUUAUUAGAAGUAGAUGUCAAAAUCCCCUAAUGAACCCUUGCUCACCAUAGAGUCCAGCUAUUAAGUCCUGGAGGAACGCAAAACAAAAAUAUGAGUGGGCAAAAUAAGUAUUUACCAAAACCUUUGCUUUUCGUAACCCAGUGACAUUUAGUUGUAAAACCCAUAGUUUCCAAAAUCAUAAUAUGUAUAAGUAUGCAAAACCAACGUGAAUGGUAUAAAAGUAGUUAUACUAAGGAUACAUGCAAAUCACAACUAUCUCAACAAAUGUAACCAAUAUGCUCAUAAAAAAAAAUGCAACACACGCAAGUCUAUGUAUAAAGUAGCUACAUGAACAGGUUAGGCAUAAUAAUCUACGUUUGAGCAUUACAUACAUGUGAAGCUAGCGCUAAGCGCAUCACCUACGAGUCCUAAAUGCAAAAACAACUAGUACAUGUUGGCAUCUAUAAUGAAUCCAAAAUGAGCAUAAUAGUGCGAUGUAAACAUAUACAUGAAGUUGGUCUUGGCCAGAACGAGUACUAUAGACAUCCGUGUAAGCAUGCAUGAUGAGCAAGUAAAAUAUGUAUGAUUAUGCCACCAUAAUUUCAUAAAUCUCAUCUCAACCUCAACAUGUAACAUUUCUAAGUAACGGUGUGGCAUGGUGUAAAACAUUCAUAAAGCCAUCAUCGAGACUAUAUAAAUAUAGUAGAUGUUUGAAAACAAAACCCACUCACUCAUAUGUUGUUGGAUUGUAGCCGCCUUACCUUGUCUAACCUUUGUAAUUCUCGGAGUAAGUCUCUCCUAUAUGGGAAACCACUAUACUAUUUAUUACACUAAUUUAAGGGUGCAA